UUAUCUUCAGGGGCCAGUGCACGUCCUGAAGGCCCCGCGGAGGGGCGCGCGGACACCGGGACCACCGUCCUCGCCCCUGGGGUCGAGCAGGAGCCGCGGGGCCUCGGGGUUCGCCUCGCUUGCUCCCGUCCAGCCUCCCGCCCGGCGCGGGGCGCGCAGAACAGCGGAGCGCGGGCGGAAGGCAGGGGGGCGGGACCGCCGCCGCCGCUCGCGCUCUUUCAAAGUUUCUUCAGUGGCACAGUUCCUGCGCGCUUCCUGUGGGGGCGGCAGCCGCGCCCUCGGCGCCCUGCCGCUCGCUGGCUCCAGGCGGAGGAGGCGGGGAGACCCGAGUCUGGGGCCGGGGCGGCGGCAGGCACCCGGGACCGAAAGGGGCCGGACGGGCGCGCCACUGGUCCUGGGGCUGGGUCCCACCAGAGCGCCGCGAGAGGGCGCUGCUGCCGGCGUGGCCGGGACCGGACCGCUGGACGCGGGCGCCGGCGGGGCAGGGCUGGGCCGCCCGGCGCCUCCCUUCGCGCGCCGACCAGGACACGGGCGACUGUGCCGCGAACCCCUCGCCUCCCCCGUGCGCGCCUGGCCGCCCGCUACUUACCCAGGAAGCCGAUACCUACUAUGUGACUGCAACUGUGCUGAGCACCCUGGGAAUGCCAGUGUCUACCACGUGGACAUCCAACAUUCACCUGCUUGCUAAGCAUUUAAGGAGGACCAGGCCCUGGGAAUACAAGUAGGAUGUAGUGGAGAAAAGAGGAGCAGGUGCUGAAUAAACAUUGAACAAGGUGUGGAAAAUUAAGCCCUGAAGACAACGGAGAACACACCGUUUAAGUAAUAAACUUGCCCUGGUGUCCUUCCUUUCCACAGUAGACAUAGACAAAUGGCACAUUACAAAGCUCCAUAACUCACAUUUUAAAAAGAAUUGCCUUUCGCUUACUCAAGUCAUAUGAUAGAUGGACUUGCUUGGAGCUCUGUCUCCGAAUCACUCGUUGAGAGAGUUUCCUAGAGCAAUAUACUCGUGAGGAUACUAACAGACAUGUGAUAGGCACUGCUUGCCUGUAACAUCAACUGUAAAGGAACAAUUCUAAGUAGAAAAAAAAAAUCCCAGAACUCUAAGAUUAUGAUAUGAAAACAAGCAGGCCAUGUUCUUGGGAUUCACUCAACAUAAUCCCAGCCGUCACCUCCAUGCUGGCCUCUGGAACUUGUUGGGGACAGGGGAAGAAGCAAGGAGCAAUCUUUUAUUGGGGAAGGCACUGCUGCAACCUGGUUAAAACAGACGUAAUUUUAAAGAGAAUUUUCUAAAUACUGAAGGAGAACCUAAAGACAUACGAAAACCAUUGAGAACGAAAAUAAUCUAACGAACAAGUUCUAGACAGAUGGUUUCUGAUCUUACAACUAUACUUGCGGCCCAAAAGGCUGAACCCCAUUCAUUUGUUCAAAUGAUGGGGAGCACUUCUAGCUGAUAUGCCCUUUGCUAGGCUUUGGGGCAGAUAUUAAAGAGCAUAGAACGUGGUCCUGGGCCCAAGAAUUCACAGUGGAGUUAGACAAUAAGGCUCAUAACUGACUUUGCUACUUUGUGAUAAAUGCUAUGUCAUGCGUAGAUGAGAACACUUUGGAACACAGGGAAAAACAAAAUCUCUCAGCGCCUUUGGAAUCUGUAAGAAAAGCUGCUGUUGCACAGGAUCUUAAAGGAGAAAUAGCAGGUUCCAGAGCUAAGAAAGGACAGGCGCCCCAACCCAGGCACAGCAAGAAUGAGCAAAUCAGACAACAGCAGUGUAGCAGGUUGGGGGAGGGGCGGCAAGGUGGAACACCACCUCACUCUGCUCCCUCCAGCCUGCUCCCUCUCUCCUGUGACUUGGAAGGGGCCUCCCGGACACCCUGCUUCUGUACUAGCAAAGCCCAGAGGGCGUAUUCCAACUCUUCCCACUCUCUGGGCUCUCUCACUCAGUGUCAGGCCUAAAGUGGAUUAGCAGUUGACACAUUUCAGGAGGACCGUUCUCUUUCUGCAGAAAACAGCAGCUUUAUGAAUUAAAAGUGGUCUUGAGGACUAUUUUCCGAACCUAAAAUUAGAUCUUAAGGUCUAACAGUGAAAUAGAAUGUCUAAAGCAGGGUCUCCAGGACUUUAUAGUAUCAGACCUAUGCUACAGUACCUUAAGCAACUGCUAACCAUUCCCACACCCGACAAUCAGUGGACACUGAGGGGUUACAGGAGAAUGACUCAUCACUUGCACCUUAUGCUUUAGUCUUUUGGGAAGGAAGACAAUCUGUAUUCCCUGUGGAGAAGAGCGAGACAGGAAGAGAAGAGAGGGAGCAAAACUUGCAUCACUUGGAGAGGACACGGGCCACAGCCCACUGCAGGUGCUCGGGAAGAAUACUUUGAUGACGUACAGUGGUUUUUUUAAUGCCCUUGAGGAGCUUGUCUCUCAUUGCUUCCAAAGCUAUUCAAACAUUAUAAGCAAGGCUGGGUGCAACGGCUUACACCUGUAAUCCCAACACUUUGGGAGGCCG